rnacentral:rRNA from 1 species
UACAUAGGGGGCAAGCGUUAUCCGGAUUUAUUGGGCGUAAAGCGUGCGUAGGUGGUCUUUUAAGUCUGACGUGAAAUGCCAAAGCUUAACUUUGGAGGGUCGUUGGAAACUGGAGGACUUGAAUCUAGAAGAGGUAAGUGUAAUUCCAUGUGUAGCGGUAAAAUGCUUAGAUAUAUGGAGGAACACCAGUGGCGAAGGCGGCUUACUGGUCUAGUAUUGACACUGAGGCACGAAAGCGUGGGUAGCAAACAGG